rnacentral:rRNA from 1 species
UCGGUGACGAGGUGGUGCAUGGUUGUCGUCAGCUCGUGUCGUGAGAUGUUGGGUUAAGUCCCGCAACGAGCGCAACCCCUAUUGUUAGUUGCCAUCAUUCAGUUGGGCACUCUAGCGAGACUGCCGGUAAUAAACCGGAGGAAGGUGGGGAUGACGUCAAAUCAUCAUGCCCCUUAUGACCUGGGCUACACACGUGCUACAAUGGUUGGUACAACGAGUUGCGAGUCGGUGACGGCGAGCUAAUCUCUUAAAGCCAAUCUCAGUUCGGAUUGUAGGCUGCAACUCGCCUACAUGAAGUCGGAAUCGCUAGUAAUCGCGGAUCAGCACGCCGCGGUGAAUACGUUCCCGGGCCUU